GACGAACGCUGGCGGCGUGCCUAAUACAUGCAAGUCGACCUUCCGGGCGAAUGGGUGAUUAACACGUGGGUAACCUGCCCAUCAGAAGGGGAUAACACUUGGCAAAAGGUGCUAAUCCUGCAUAAUGAUGUAUGGACCCGCGGUGGAGUCGCUAGUUGGAGAGGUAACGGCUCACCAAGGCGACGAUGCAUAGCGGACCUGAGAGGGUGAUCGGCCACAUUGGGACUGAGACACGGCCAAAACUCCUACGGGAGGCAGCAGUAGGGAAUCGUCGGCAAUUGACGAAAGUCUGACCGAGCCACGCCGCGUGAGUGAAGAAGGUUUUCGGAUCGUAAAGCUCUGUUGUUAGAGAAGCGGUAUCUAACGAGAAAGCCACGGCUAACUACGUGCCAGCAGCCGCGGUAAUUC
rnacentral:rRNA from 1 species